AGGACGAACGCUGGCGGCGUGCUUAACACAUGCAAGUCGAGCGGUAAGGCCUUUCGGGGUACACGAGCGGCGAACGGGUGAGUAACACGUGGGUGAUCUGCCCUGCACUUCGGGAUAAGCCUGGGAAACUGGGUCUAAUACCGGAUAUGACCUCCUAUCGCAUGGUGGGUGGUGGAAAGAUUUAUCGGUGCAGGAUCGGGCCCGCGGCCUAUC
rnacentral:rRNA from 1 species